UGGAAGAGUUAGGGAUGCUAUGUGUAAAC
rnacentral:piRNA from 1 species